rnacentral:rRNA from 1 species
GACGGACGCUGGCGGCGUGCUUAACACAUGCAAGUCGAACGGAAAGGCCCUGCUUUUGUGGGGUGCUCGAGUGGCGAACGGGUGAGUAACACGUGAGUAACCUGCCCUUGACUUUGGGAUAACUUCAGGAAACUGGGGCUAAUACCGGAUAGGAGCUCCUGCUGCAUGGUGGGGGUUGGAAGGUUUCGGCGGUUGGGGAUGGACUCGCGGCUUAUCAGCUUGUUGGUGGGGUAGUGGCUUACCAAGGCUUUGACGGGUAGCCGGCCUGAGAGGGUGACCGGCCACAUUGGGACUGAGGGACGGACCAGACUCCUACGGGAGGCAAUAGUGGGGAAUAUUGCACAAUGGGCGGGAGCCUGAUGCAGCAACGCCGCGUGCGGGAUGACGGCCUUCGGGUUGUAAACCGCUUUCGCCUGUGACGAAGCGUGAGUGACGGUAAUGGGUAAAGAAGCACCGGCUAACUACGUG